AAAGGGUGCGUAGGUGGCCUGUUAAGUCAGGGGUGAAAGACGGUAGCUCAACUAUCGCAGUGCCCUUGAUACUGAUGGGCUUGAAUGAACUAGAGGUAGGCGGAAUGUGACAAGUAGCGGUGAAAUGCAUAGAUAUGUCACAGAACACCAAUUGCGAAGGCAGCUUACUAUGGUUUUAUUGACACUGAGGCACGAAAGCGUGGGGAUCAAACAGGAUUAGAUACCCUGGU
rnacentral:rRNA from 1 species